rnacentral:rRNA from 1 species
UACGUAGGGAGCAAGCGUUGUCCGGAAUCAUUGGGCGUAAAGCGCGCGUAGGCGGCCUCGUAAGUCCGUUGUGAAAGUCAAAGGCUCAACCUUUGAAAGCCGAUGGAUACUGUGAGGCUAGAGUCCGGAAGAGGCGAGUGGAAUUCCUGGUGUAGCGGUGGAAUGCGCAGGAUAUCAGGAGGAACACCAAUAGCGAAGGCAGCUCGCUGGGACGUUACUGACACUGAGGCGCGAAGCGUGGGGAGCGAACAGGAUUGAGAUACCGA